UUUGAUGUCUGUAGUUUUUGUGUUUACAGAGUCGUAGCCAAAUCAAUAGUGACACUGUGUACUUGAUCAUAUAGAACAUUUAAUCAGUGUUUCAUACUUUCUGUGCUAGUUGGGAAACUCAAAAUUUGUGCUACUUGCGAAACUUAAAGUCUGUAUUGUACAUUUGUAUACCUAUUUAAUGACAUUUGCAGAGAAGAAUAAUCUUUGCUUGUAUGUAUUCCCGAAUGAAGUAUGGGAAGUUAACUUACCAGCUGAAGAAGUACCUCCAGAGCUCCCGGAACCUGGACUCGGCAUCAACUUUGCCAGAGAUGGAAUGCUGGAAAAAGACUGGUUUGCUCUUGUUGCUGUCCACAGUUGAUGUGAUGCCUGGUUACUUUCUGUCUCCUUUUACUUCGGUUCAAGAUUUGGUUUCGAUUCAUGCUGUAAUAACAGAUUCAAGUCAAAUUCAAAAGUGGUAAGAUUCAUGAUGUCCUUUAAUGAGGAGGUUAAUAAAUUUUAUGAACUAGGAACAAACCAAACUAAAGAACCUUAAGAUGAAUUUAAUAGCUUCUGUUAGUCUCCCAAACCCUUUCCCUUUGGUUCUCUAGUUAACUCCUCUCAUAGUACACUAACCGAUCUAAGGCCACCUCCAUCGGAGUAUUUAAACAAGGUUCUUUAAAAAAAAAGCAAAAAAAAUAAAUGAAAAAAGAGGAAAAUAGACAGAACCGCUGUCUAAAACAGCACUUGUGGAACUGCUAAAAACCCCUAACGUGGCGGUUUUUUAUAGGUUAAUCGUUUUAGACAAAAGAGAAAAAAAUUAGGACUCUCCGUCUCUCUUUCGAUGAUGUCUUCUUUCAUCGCGUGAAAACUUAAUUCCUUUGGAGGUGUUCUGAUUCUUUGAUCAUACUCGAGAUUAGGGUUUAGGAUCAAUCCAUCAAUGGCUUCCGUUACUACAUCUCCUUCUCUUCUCUUCUCUUUCCUUCACGAAAUUUUACAUCUUUUCCAUCAAUUCCACACCAUAGAAGAAGCUCUGUGUCCUUCAUUCGUUUUACUUCUGAGAACCCUUCUCUGUCCGCCACCACCAGCAAGGAGGACAUUCUUCGUUUCGUGACGAACACCGACGGAAAUACGACUCAGCUCGGCUCAGCCUCGUCGGCACAGUAGAUUUCGAUCAUGCUUUAACCGCAGCUGCAGCCGGUGGCGAAGCCACCGAUGACCACCUUCGCGAAAACGUCCCCGUCAUGGUGGUCGAGACCGUUUUUUCCCCGAAGGAUCCGACCCGAAGGCUACUGCCUCGACCCGAUUGGUAAAGAGAUGGUGGAGAAGUUCACUGAAUUGGGAGGAUGCAAAUGUGACAGUCCUGCUGAUGUUGGCAAAGAGAGCAGAGAGCAGAUCUUUGUAGUCGAUGCCUAUGUUUUAAAAGGGAUGUCUGAGCUUCUUGAUGAAAAAUAAUGAGGAGUGUAAUGGCUCUUAUACAAUUUUGAAGCUCAUGUGUUACUCUGUGGAGGAUUCGUCGGACAGGUUGCAGUCAAAGCUUCUUACUUUCCAAGCAGAUUGGAAUCUCACCAAGACAAAAAGAUUUAGAUGACGAAGGCUCAAAGACAAUACAAGCGAUGGACGAGGAAGAAGGACUUAAUGAAGAUGAGAAGGAAGAGGAAAAAGAUGAAGAGAAACACGGUGAUACCCUGUGUGGAGCUUGUGGAGAUAACUAAGCUUCAGAUGAAUUCUGGAUCUGCUGUGACAUGUGCGAGAAAUGGUUCGAUGGGGUAUGUGUGAAGAUUACUUCAGCUAGAGCUGAGCAUAUCAAGCAUUACUAGUGCUCUUCUUGCAGCAACAAAAGAGCUCGAAUAGUACAAUGUUUUAUUCCACUAGUCUUAGCUUUCUAUCCAUCACCAAAUUGUACAAUGCGCUUUAAAUAUGUUUGUUGUUCAGACAAAAUUAGUUUGAAGCAUGCCCAGACUCGAUUUCUCAA